ensembl:lncRNA
CAAAAAUCUUUCAGAGCAGCACUAACUACAGUUUACUACAGUAAAGAUAAUAAUUAUAAUAACAAUAAUAUAUACAAGAAUGAAAAAUGAAUAAAUACCGUAUUACUACACUAUAAGUGACAUCAGCAUAAAGUGGCUUGUGGAAUACAUGUAAUUGUAAAAGUGCAGAAAAUGCCAGCAGUGCAAGGAGUUGUGGAGAUUUUCUCAAAACAGGUGAGUCCUGUGAAUAUGACCAAAAUAUGAGAUAAAACUACCAGAAACAUGUACAAAAUGACCAAAAUAUGAUUGGUUGAUAAUGUAUCAGUGUUGUUAUUGAUUAUUGAUCGGUUGCAGGGACAGAGAUUUGUGUCUUGAGUCUCUGCUGUCAUCUAAUCCCUCUCAUGUAAGAUCAUGUCACAGGAGGGGGCGCUACUGACCUCUUGUGGACACAGGCGGUAACGACACGACAUUAUUACUAACUGUAUAGCUUGCGACAUUACAGGUGAGCAGCACUUCCUGUUCAUCUUCAACGUAAAAGCAUCUUUCUUUCGUGUACAUUUCAUGUCAAACGUAUUGCUAAGCGAUUUAGGUCGAUUCAGAAGGAUCUCUGGUGUAAACCAAGUCGUAUUUAACGACAGCUAGCUUCUCCACUUGCUCCGAUUACUUUUGUUGUAGUCUGAGUCACGUCCAAACAGGAAAUGAAUCCACAAUGUAGCUAAUGACAAUCUAUAGCUGCGUCUGUGAUGGCAGCGUUAGCGAGCUAGCAGCUAAUCAGAAGCUAGUGACAAGCUAACUCCAGCGCUACCAGCAGCGUCUCUUUAAAAGGUGCUGAUCACGAUAUCAGGCUGAAACAUUAGACCCGGGACAGGAAACGGAGCUAGAGCUCUGUGUCUUGGAGAGAAUUGAUUUUAGAAUUACACGUGUUAAGGUAUUAGUCCGUGUCAUAACAAACCCUCGUUAGCACUUCCGCUAGCUCGGCUAACACUUCCGGUCACGAAUGCAUUUGUACAUUACCUAUAACGUGUUCAUUUUUGAACGUAUAGUGACAACAAACACAAUCUGAG